rnacentral:rRNA from 1 species
UACAGAGGUCUCAAGCGUUGUUCGGAUUCAUUGGGCGUAAAGGGCGCGUAGGCGGGCCAUCAAGUCAGGGGUGAAAUCUUUCGGCUCAACCGGAAAAGUGCCUUUGAUACUGGUGGUCUCGAGGGAGGUAGGGGCAUGCGGAACUUCCGGUGGAGCGGUGAAAUGCGUAGAUAUCGGAAGGAACGCCGGUGGCGAAAGCGGCGAUGCUGGACCUCUUCUGACGCUGAGGCGCGAAAGCUAGGGGAGCAAACGGGG